rnacentral:lncRNA from 1 species
CAACCAUUAAUUCUUAAAUGUGUUAAGAUUAUUUGAUGUCAUGGUAAAAUGUUUAUGAAAUAUUACAUUUUAAAAGUGUAGUAUAGUAACCUACAAUGUGAUACCAAUUCUGUAAAACAGUAAAUGUAUUAAUGAAACACUCUAAGUAAAGGAAAAGUGAGUAGUUAUCGCUCUUUUUUAGUAUGUUUUAAUUGAUAUAUCAUGGUUAUAUAUAUUUUUGGGGUACAUGUGAUAUUUUGAUACAUGUAUACAACAUGUAAUGAUCAAGUCAGGGUAAUUGGGAUGUCUGUCACCUCAAACAUUUAUCUUUUUUUGUGUCAUGAACAUUAUAAUUCUUUCCUUGUAGUUGUUUUAAAAUAUACAAUAAAUUAUUAUUCAUUAUAAUUUUUUAAUUAAAUAUUUUUAAAAUUUUUAUUAUUUUUAUUUUUUUUAGAGACAGGAUCUUGCUGGUCACCCAGACUGGAGUGCAAUGGUGCAAUCAUAGUUCACUGCAGCCUCGAACUCUUGGGCUCAAGCAGUCCUCCUACCUCAGCCUCCAGAGUUGUUAUCUAUAAUUUUGAACAGUAGUUAUCUGUAACAGUGAGAAGCAAAGGUUUUCCUCAUUUCCUCUUUUACAGUUUCUGUAUUUUCCAUAAUUGAUACAUCAUCACAUAUUACAAUUAUGAUGAGAAAACAUGAUACAUAUUUUUAUUUGGAAAAUACAUAAAUAAAAACAAAAUCUAUGACCUCACCGUUCAGACUCAACAUCUCUUCCAUUUUGAUGUCAUGCGAUGUUUCUGACGGAGGUUUAAUUGAAAUGAAACAGCAUCAAUAAGCAUGGGCUCCACAGUCUUCCCACAUCGCUCUGAGUGCCCGGGGAGGGACUGGGGACUCCCCCCACACAUUAACCCACGAGGACCUCUCACAUGGACCUUUUUACAUUCUCUCUAAUCUUUCCCAAAGCCUUGCAAGGUGGGAGUAAUAUUAUUAUUCCCAUUUCAGAGAUGACAAAACUAAGAAACUCGUCCUCUGUGAGUUUCUGUGCUAUUAGGCUGUGUCUCAUGUCCCCGUACAAAGUAUCUUUGUAUGGGAGGCCUAAUGGUUAAGAGCAUGGACUUCUGUCCGACAGAAUUCAUUAAGUUCCAGGCCAGACACACUGCCGCUCUCUGGGAAUGUGUCCAUGGGCUAGGGGUGGCACUGAGCUUCCAUUCCAUUUCUUAUAAAAUAAUGACGACAAGAUCGUUUUCCUUAAAGGGUGGCUGUGAGCCUUCAAUUACACAGUGAUGAAAAGACCUUAGCACAGUGCUGGGCAACGGCUAGCUACUUCAGAGGCACAGCUGAGACUUGCACAGAGGUACCUGGCUGCAAAGUCCGGCUCCUCUACACUCUGCAGAGCUGUUUUCCCCCUUCAGAGCUCCUCUCCUCCGGGAGGGCUUGCCUCGCCCCGGUCCAGGAUCUCUGCCUUCGGUUGAAGCGCAGCGCCCCCAGCCGUCCGCAGGAGGGAUCGACGCCUCUGUCUCCCCGAAGUGAGGGCGCUCGCUGCGGAGCUGGGGGUGGUCUCCUCUUCCCCCCAUCGCGGCCCAGCAACCUGGGGGUCCGCGUGACUUCUCCCUGGCCGGGGGAUGGAGGAUGCGCUCUCCUCUGUCCCUUCAAGGCCUCUUCCUCGUCCCAGGUCGAGUCUCCUCCUUGCUGACCAGGCAUCGCGAGCAGAUGAAUCCUCUGGGCGGUUGUCCCUGUCAGGCUGUCAGGACCUGAUUUUCCCUGGUUCACUAAAGCACCAGAAGGUAUGAAGGCGGAGAGAGGAAACAGGGCAAUGGAAUGAACACUUCUCAAGAAUCUCUCAGGUGCCACGGACUGAGCCAGGUGCCUUCCAUGUGUUAUCUCAUUUUACAGGGCAGGUAACAUUUCUGAAAGGUCAGGCAGCUAAAAAGCAGACAGCUUUCUGGCACAUUAGAGAAACAAAAGAAAUGUUGGAGACUGGAAUGCCUGCUGUGUCAAGGCACCUAAUUAGAAAACAACGUCAGAGUGAAUUUGUCGUGCGAGUCUCCAGCUCUGCCAGAAGAACUAAAAGAAAUGUGUCACCAGAGGAAUCACAAAGUAAAGUCUAUUAUUGUUCUGGGGAUUCUGGGGAUUCGAUGCACAAAUCAGAGGUCUGACAGGGGAUGGGGCAUGUGUUACGUCUUAGUAAUGUGCUAAAUGGUAGUGCUUCCAGAUUCCCCACAGAAUCCUACUGCAGUCAGAGAUCUUGAUGUCGGUUGAACUUAUCUAUUUAUAACGAGGAAACAUUAAGGUAACUCAAACCAACAAAAUAAAACAGGUUGACAGUGACUAAGCAACAACAGAGUGCUAGAUUUAUGUAGAGAUUCUUUCUUUCAAGUUGCUGAGACAUUUCACAAAGGAGAACCGUAGAUUAUCAUCAACUUCCAUUUGGGGACUUAGAAAUCCACCAAAGACAAAGACAAUGUUGGUAUCAUUCCUUCCAGCUCUUGGCUGAAACUGUUCUUUCCUAUGUCACCAGUGAACUUCUACUGGCCAACGCCCAAAGAAUACUUUCUCAGUUUUAGUUUAGAGACCUCUCUAUUCCACUUGCAUGGUUAGACACUAACUGCUGGAAACUUCCAAUCUGAAACACUCCCUGGGAAAUGUCUUAUUUGCAAAUUUUACAGCUAAAAUCCCUCCUCCAUAGACAAUCUAUUAAUAAACAGUACCUGCAAAUGGGGGACUCUCUGGGGGAAAUUUUUUCACUGCAAUUGGUGUCAGCAUUAUAUUAUAAUUAAUCCAUCUUUAUCUAAGAUAAAGUUGUAGGUUCAGAUAAAUAAUGUCCCUCUCCCUUUAACACUUGUUAUACUUGUGCUAGGCCUAUUUGUGGCCACACCUGGGAUUGAGUGGUUGAGAUGAGAUGCAAAAGAGAUUAUCUAAACUUCUGGGUGAUUUUUUGCUGAAUGAAUGUCUUUUAAAGCACCAUUUCUGAUCCCAUUUGGCUUCUCUCUAGCCUCUAUCGAUUAAUUGUUGAUUUAAAUUGGAAGAGAGGCUAUAUGGAGUCUAGAACUUUACUUAGUUCAUUGUUAUUUCCCCAGGACCUCGAAAAGUGCCUGGGAUAUAACUCACAAAUAUGUGUCGAAUGAAUGAGUAGUUCUAUCUGUUUCAUGUCUGGGUCAAUGUAGGCUGUAUCCACAUGUUCCUGGUAGGGGAAGUAAUAGUAACAAAGAUUUUGGCUAAGCUUCAGAGGCCAUGAAUUAAUAGAUUUUGGAAGAGGUCACUUUAGGAUUUAUCAGCUUCAAAUCUUAUAUAAACUUCUUACUGGAUCCAAAAGACUCCACUAUUUAUGGGAGACUCAUGGUUUGGCCAUUACAAUGGUGAAUGAGGUAAGGUUUUGGGACAUACGUAACCAGGCCUGAAUUGGUUGAAUAUGAACUUGAAAGUUCAAAUUCAGACUAACAUCUUUCUUUUGUCAGCUCUUCAAUCUCAGCACUUGUCAACUUAAAUAACAAACAGAAGAGGGGCUCUCUAAAAUAAAAAUGAUAUGUACUCAGGAGUAAGGCAUUGCAAUGGAAAUAUGUGUGCCAUAGUAAACUAUGUGCAUACUAAGAGAGGUAAAGAAAGACAAAAAUUUUUAAAGGAAAAAUGAGAUGGAUUACAUAAUUGUUUGGAGAUAAUUAUCCUUGCUACAAAGAUCAAUAGAAAG